rnacentral:rRNA from 1 species
UACGUAGGGUGCGAGCGUUGUUCGGAUUUAUUGGGCGUAAAGAGCUCGUAGGCGGCUUGUCGCGUCGUCCGUGAAAACUUGGGGCUCAACCCCAAGCUUGCGGUCGAUACGGGCAGGCUAGAGUUCGGUAGGGGAGACUGGAAUUCCUGGUGUAGCGGUGAAAUGCGCAGAUAUCAGGAGGAACACCGGUGGCGAAGGCGGGUCUCUGGGCCGAUACUGACGCUGAGGAGCGAAAGCGUGGGGAGCGAACAGG